rnacentral:lncRNA from 1 species
UAGCCCACACACAUGUAAGGUCAAAUCGUGGGCCCUCAGAUUUGGCGUGGAGCUUAAGGGAGAUGAACAGUCUGGCCUUCAGAGACAUUUCUGGAUCCUGAAGAGCUACAGUGGACAACUCUAGGGAUUGUACUGGCACAUACGACUAGGAAGGACUGAAGUCAGAAGACAGCCAUUGAAGAGUGAAUAGACCCAACUGGAGAACAAGCAAAAAUCUGGAUGAAAAGUUGGAGCAUUUGAGAGGUAUUGGAACAGUUACCUACCUGGCAACAAUCCCAGAUUUGAUCCAGAGAAAUGGUGACUCCAGUUCAGCAAAGAACUUAAAGCUCCCGAGUAGCCCUACAGAAGUCAGUGAGACAACUCAAAUGUGUGCAGCUAAUAUAUCUUUGGUGUAUGUAAAAAGCGCACUUCGCUGGUUUGCUACAUACCACAAAUGCCAUCGUUACUGUCUUUUGACUUAUAAAACUAACAGCCGCCAAUUCAGAAUUGCAAAUAUUAAUGUAAAAUGUGUAUGUUGAGCUUAAACUCAAUGGACUUUUCAUAAAUUCAUAGAGUUUAAGGCCAGAAGUGAUCUCCCGUAUAUCACAGGCCAUUCCAUUUCACCCAGUUACCCCUGUAUUGUACCCUUUGCCCGUGUUUGCUACAAAGUUGGCAGAAAGUGAACAUAUCAGGACAAAUUUGUAUGACCUUCAAAUAAAAAAGUUAACUCUGUGUGUGUCUUCCUUCUU